rnacentral:lncRNA from 1 species
CGUUCUCAAUCUCUUCUCCCUUGAUCGGCACAGCCACAACCUCCUUCUCCAAUACUCUCUCCCUCGCCGCCGGCCACCUCCGCCUCCUCCCACGCGCCACCUCCGCCUCCUCCCACGCGCCACCUCCGCCUCCUCCCACGCGCCACCUCCGCGACAAACCACUGAAGGAGGGAGAGGACUCGCUCAUAUCGUCCGAUGGAGGAGGACUCGAUCAAGGGGAUGAUCUCCGCGAUAUCCUGGGUGCCCAGGGGCGCCGCCAAGAGCGUGCCCGUC